rnacentral:rRNA from 1 species
UACGUAGGCAGCGAGCGUUGUUCGGAAUUACUGGGCGUAAAGAGUGUGUAGGCGGUGCUCUAAGUUCGGUGUGAAAUCUCCCGGCUUAACUGGGAGGGUGCGCCGGAAACUGGAGUGCUCGAACGUGGGAGAGGAAAGCGGAAUUCCUGGUGUAGCGGUGAAAUGCGUAGAUAUCAGGAGGAAUACCUGCGGUGUAGACGGCUUUCUGGACCAUUGUUGACGCUGAGACACGAAAGCCAGGGGAGCAAACGGG